GUGUGUGCGCUCGUGUACGUGUGCGUUUUGGUAGGCGAGGCAGGAAGUGAAUAAGAGCAGUUGGUCUCUGAGUCAGAAAGAUUACACACACAAACACACACACACACACACACACACACACACACACACACACACACACACACACACACACACACACACACACACACACACACACACACACACACACACACACACACACACACACUACUUAUCUUAUCGUAGGCCCUACAGGGUGACAGCCUUGGACUGUAACUAAAAUAAACGCAAAAGACUCAAAUCAAAAGGCUGUGCACAGGGACUUCGUUCUUUUUAGUAAAUUAAACGCGUUUGUCCAAAAAGCUGGCCAGACUUCUAUUUUUACACCAAGUCUUAGUAAGACCUCUUUAUAAUUAUUUCUAGUCAUUAAAGGGCUCUGCUACAAGCUGUGCGAGAGUAUUUUAAGUGAAACCAAUAAAAAAUAAUUUUGAUUAGCUUUGUACUUUCCCCAAGCGUUAAUUCACUGAGGGGGCCGACCCAACGAGGAACAGAGCAUUCUCCCCUGGUUUGGGUUUGUGAAGGUUUAUGUUAUUUUUCAGACUUUCAGAACAUAUAUAGCCGAAUCCAUCAACAUUUCAUAUUGUGAUAUAUUAGAUAGGAGGUGAUAGGACAGAGCAACAGAGAAUUGACCUCAUGUAUCUGCCUAAUUAUUCUGUUGUUGUCUUUAUGUCUGUCAAGCUGGGGCUGUCAUGUAAGGUCCAACUUCCUGUAAUGACUAGAAACUUCCUGCAUAAUUUAAUAUUUAAAUAAUUUUUAGAUUUAACCAUUAAUUGUUAUAAUAGUGAGUAACUGUGAUUUAAUGUAUUAACUCAUCACCCUGAAGCUGUGGAAACCCUGAAACUUCCCCUUGGGGAUGUGGUAUCUUAGGUAGGGUGGUAGGUGACCUAGGUAGGGCGGUAGGGGACCUAGGUAGGGUGGUAGGUGACCUAGGUAGGGUCAGUGUUUCCCACACAUUGACGAGACUAUGGCGCCCCGCCAUAGUCUAAUUUCGGCCGCCAUAGUCUCUGCGUGCACAUGAAUUAUUAUUAUUAUUAUUAUUAUUAUUUAUUAUUAUUUUUUUUUUUUUGCUCAGACGAAGUUCGUGUCGCUCUCAUUGGGA